rnacentral:rRNA from 1 species
GACGAACGCUGGCGGCGUGCCUAAUACAUGCAAGUAGAACGCACAGUUUAUACCGUAGCUUGCUACACCAUAGACUGUGAGUUGCGAACGGGUGAGUAACGCGUAGGUAACCUGCCUGGUAGCGGGGGAUAACUAUUGGAAACGAUAGCUAAUACCGCAUAAUAUUAAUUAUUGCAUGAUAAUUAAUUGAAAGGUGCAAUUGCACCACUACCAGAUGGACCUGCGUUGUAUUAGCUAGUAGGUGAGGUAACGGCUCACCUAGGCGACGAUACAUAGCCGACCGGAGAGGGUGGUCGGCCACACUGGGACUGAGACACGGCCCAGACUCCUACGGGAGGCAGCAGUAGGGAAUCUGCGGCAAUGGACGAGAGUCUGACCGAGCAACGCCGCGUGAGUGAAGAAGGUUUUCGGAUCGUAAAGCUCUGUUGUAAGAGAAGAACGGGUGUGAGAGUGGAAAGUUCACACUGUGACGGUAUCUUACCAGAAAGGGACGGCUAACUACGUG